rnacentral:rRNA from 1 species
UAGGGAAUCUUCCGCAAUGGGCGAAAGCCUGAUGGAGCAACGCCGCGUGUGUGAUGAAGGGUUUCGGCUCGUAAACACUGUUGUAAGAGAAGAAUGACAUUGAGAGUAACUGUUCAAUGUGUGACGGUAUCUUACCAGAAAGGAACGGCUAAAUACGUGCCAC